GCUGAGACUGAGCUGGAUAGAGUACUCGGCUACGAACCGAGCGGUCGGAGGUUCGAAUCCUCCCGGAUGCA
rnacentral:tRNA from 1 species